rnacentral:rRNA from 1 species
AUGAUUGGGGGGACAUGGCGAUGGCUAGCUCCACCAGAAGGGAUGGUGAAAAUCAAUGUUGACGGAGCAGUCGCGCGACAGAAGCGUGGAGGAGCAGUAUCUGCGGUGUGCCGAGACCAGACGGGACUAUAUCUUGGUUCGUCGGCAGUAGUUUUUCGAAGCAUCACUGAUCCCACGACUCUGGAGACCUUCGCGUGCAGGGAAGCGCUGGCGCUGGCGCUGGAUCUUCAGGUGACUAAUAUGAAGGUGGCCUCGGCCUGCAAGGGUGUGGUACUGGACAUACACGAGGGAACGAGGGGUCCACACUCGGCCAUUGUACAUGAAAUAAUGCAACGUAGGAGUUCUUUUGAGUUAGUUUUUUUUUUGCUUUUGAGAGUAGAAACAAUAAUUUCGAGGCUCACAAUCUCGCCAAGUUCGCCUGUAAUUUAG